rnacentral:rRNA from 1 species
CCUACGGGUGGCAGCAGUCGAGAAUCAUUCACAAUGGGGGAAACCCUGAUGGUGCGACGCCGCGUGGGGGAAUGAAGGUCUUCGGAUUGUAAACCCCUGUCAUGUGGGAGCAAAUUAAAAAGAUAGUACCACAAGAGGAAGAGACGGCUAACUCUGUGCCAGCAGCCGCGGUAAUACAGAGGUCUCAAGCGUUGUUCGGAAUCACUGGGCGUAAGGCGUGCGUAGGCUGUUUCGUAAGUCGUGUGUGAAAGGCGCGGGCUCAACCCGCGGACGGCACAUGAUACUGCGAGACUAGAGUAAUGGAGGGGGAACCGGAAUGCUCGGUGUAGCAGGGAAAUGCGUAGAUAUCGAGAGGAACACUCGUGGCGAAGGCGGGUUCCUGGACAUUAACUGACGCUGAGGCACGAAGGCCAGGGGAGCGAAAGGGAUUAGAUACCCGAGUAGUC